rnacentral:lncRNA from 1 species
AAUAAAGAUCUUUCUUUCAUAACUUAUGUUGAAUGUACUAAAUGUGAGAAACUUGAGUCAAACACAAAUAGGGUUCUAAUUUGAAUUGACAAUUGCAUAACACCCUUUUUUCUUUCAUGAGUUCAUAAUUUUCUUCGAUCGUACAUUCUAGAACUUGAUUUGUGACCGUUUCAAGAUUGAAGUAUGUCUAUAUGCAUUAAAAUGAUAGAGGCCAUUAAGACUUUUCUUUUUUACCUUCAACCGCUUGCUAUAAACAUUGAAAACUCAUUACUUGCCCACUUUUGAGCCUGAACUUUAAUGAUUUUUCAUAGCUACUCAAAUGAGGGUUUGUGGUAAUUUAUAAUGUUUGGUUGAAGCAAUGAGAAGGGUAAAAAGGUCAUGUGUGAUGAAAGAAUCCAUAAAAAUGUGAAGAAGAAAAAAAAUAAAUUAAUUUCAUCCCUUCUCUUUUAGAAAAUCUCAAAAAAAGGAAAAAGGAAAAAGAAAAAGGAAAUACAAAUUAUACUAAAAAAGAAUGGACUGGAAAAAAAUGUGUUGAAAGGAGAAAAAUUAUUUGAAAAAAGAUCGUAUGAUAGAGUAAGACCUAUUAAGAGAAUCUCAAUGCUUCAAUUAGAUGUCUAAAAUGUUUAAGUAUUUUGGGAAACAUUUGUAAACAUUUUAAAUUACCUUUUCUUUAACUAUCCCACCUUAAAGCAUUCACCUUGGCCACAUUACAAUCAUUUAAAGACCUUUUAAUUUUUGCAUACAUUCAAAUAUAGUCAGUAGCGAUUUGGUCUAUAAUCAAGCCUAUGGUAAUUUAAUUUCAUAAUAUUUUUUGAGCGAAACAUUAUGACAUUUAAACACAUGAGAGUGAUGAGAUAAGAGUGACCAUAAUUCAUGUAGUUGUUAUUACUCAAGGACUUAGCUUGAAUUAAAUUAUUUUAUGAUUGACUUGUCUUGAUUUCUGGAUUGUUUUAAAAUUAACAUGAAAUUGCUUGUUAUCUUGGGUCAUAGUUUCUAUAUCAUCAUUCAUACAUGAUUCUAAAAGUUAAACAUAAUACUUGCUAGAGGACAAGCAAGAGAUAAGCUUGAGGGGAUUUAAUGAGUGUAAAAUUAUGCUACAUUUGCAUUGCAUUUAACUUGCAUUUUAGGAUAUAAUUAGGACUCUAGGAUUGCUUUUAGCUUUUAUUUCUAUUUGUUCGGGUUGAGCGGGUGUUUUUGGCAAUGUUGUGCAGUUUGGAUGGAUUAAAGCCAAAAAGAGUAGAGAUUGUGUGCAAGAAGAUGAAAUUCAGUGUUGAGGCUAUACAAACAGCAAUUGAAGGGGCA